AGAAACCUAAAUACACGCUGUCUGAACACUGAAAUCUGAAUGUCAGCGCUGCUCUCUGAUGUGUAUGUCUCAAAGCUGGUGAUGAUGCCAAGAUCCGCGUGUGGCAGAUUCCCAAAGGAGGCCUGACGGAAACCCUGACUGAGCCGGAGUGUGUUCUGCGAGGACACACGGAGAAGAUUUACUCUAUCAAGUUCCAUCCCCACGCGUCCAGCCUGCUGGCUUCCUCCUCCUACGACCUCACGGUGAGACUGUGGAACCUGGAGACAGGAGAGGAAGUCAAACGACUCAGCGGACAUCAGGACCAGAUAUUUGGCAUGGCUUGGAGUCCAGACGGGAAACUGCUGGCCACUGUGUGUAAGGACGGAAAAGUGCG